UACGAAGGGGGCUAGCGUUGCUCGGAAUCACUGGGCGUAAAGGGCGCGUAGGCGGCCAUUCAAGUCGGAGGUGAAAGCCCAGGGCUCAACCCUGGAAUUGCCUUCGAUACUGUUUGGCUAGAGACCGGAAGAGGUAAGUGGAACUGCGAGUGUAGAGGUGAAAUUCGUAGAUAUUCGCAAGAACACCAGUGGCGAAGGCGGCUUACUGGUCCGGUUCUGACGCUGAGGCGCGAAAG
rnacentral:rRNA from 1 species